rnacentral:rRNA from 1 species
UACGGGGGGAGCAAGCGUUGUUCGGAUUUACUGGGCGUAAAGGGCGCGUAGGCGGUCGUGACAAGUCAGUUGUGAAAUCUCCGGGCUUAACUCGGAAAGGUCAACUGAUACUGUGCGGCUAGAGUGCAGAAGGGGCAACUGGAAUUCUCGGUGUAGCGGUGAAAUGCGUAGAUAUCGAGAGGAACACCUGCGGCGAAGGCGGGUUGCUGGGCUGAUACUGACGCUGAGGCGCGAAAGCCAGGGGAGCGAACGGG